ACGGGAGGCAGCAGCUAAGAAUAUUCCGCAAUGGGGGAAACCCUGACGGAGCGACGCCGCGUGGACGAUGAAGGCCGGAAGGUUGUAAAGUCCUUUUAUGGCAGAGGAAUAAGCGGGGGAGUGGAAAGCCCCUGUGAUGACUGUAGGCCAUGAAUAAGCACCGGCUAAUUACGUGCCAGCAGCCGCGGUAACACGUAAGUUGCGAGCGUUGUUCGGAAUUAUUGGGCGUAAAGGGCAUGUAGGCGGUUGUGCAAGCUUGAUGUGAAAUCCCCGGGCUUAACCCGGGAACUGCAUUGAGAACUGCAUGACUAGAAUUACUGAAGGGUAACUGGAAUUCCAAGUGUAGGGGUGAAAUCUGUAGAUAUUUGGAAGAACACCGAUGGCGAAGGCAAGUUACUGGCAGAUAAUUGACGCUGAGGUGCGAAGGUGCGGGGAGCGAACAGGAUUAGAUACCCUGGUA
rnacentral:rRNA from 1 species